rnacentral:rRNA from 1 species
AUUGAACGCUGGCGGCACGCCUAACACAUGCAAGUCGAGCGGCAGCGAGACUAGUAGCAAUACUAGUUGUCGGCGAGCGGCGGACGGGUGAGUAACACGUAGGAAUCUGCCCUUAAGCGGGGGAUAACCAAGGGAAACUUUGGCUAAUACCGCAUAAUCUCGAGAGAGCAAAGCUGCCCGCAAGGGUGGCACUUGAGGAGGAGCCUGCGUCCGAUUAGCUAGUUGGUGGGGUAAUGGCCUACCAAGGCGAUGAUCGGUAACUGGUCAUAGAGGACGACCAGUCACACUGGGACUGAGACACGGCCCAGACUCCUACGGGGGGCAGCAGUGGGGAAUAUUGGACAAUGGGGGCAACCCUGAUCCAGCGAUGCCGCGGGAGUGAAGAAGGCCUUCGGGUCGUAAAGCUCUUUAGGUUGGGAAGAAGGGUAUUGGCUGAAUAAUCCAGUACUUUGACGGUACCGACAGAAUAAGCACCGGCAAACUCUGUGCCAGCCGCCGCCGUAACAC